rnacentral:rRNA from 1 species
UACGUAGGGGGCAAGCGUUGUCCGGAAUCAUUGGGCGUAAAGAGCGUGUAGGCGGUCCGGUAAGUCGGCUGUGAAAGUCCAGGACUCAACCCUGGGAUGCCGGUCGAUACUGCCGGACUAGAGUUCGGAAGAGGCGAGUGGAAUUCCCGGUGUAGCGGUGAAAUGCGCAGAUAUCGGGAGGAACACCUAUGGCGAAGGCAGCUCGCUGGGACGGUACUGACGCUGAGACGCGAAAGCGUGGGGAGCGAACAGG